GGGGUGACACCGCGUGGAGGUAGCGGGAGGCCCGGCGGGGCGGGGGCGGCGUGGACGCUCCGUGAGGAGUCUCCGUGAGGGGCUGCGGGUUCCUCACACCCCGGCACCGCCGAGAGGAAGGCUGGGGGAAGCUGUGAUGCACAUCUGUUUGACGAAGAAGGCAUCAGCUUUUCCUAGAGGGAAAAUAAUGAAAGGCAAAGCACAUUCAGAUUAUUUUGAAGUCCAGGAUUUUGUCAAGAAAAAGAAGAGGAAACACAAUGAUUCCAACAACAAACGCAAAAAUGCUGAAAUUGUGGAAGAUCCGGAGCUUGGCCAUGCAUCCCAAGUGCUCUUUGAAGAUUCAGCAGUGGAGGACAGGAAAAAGAAGAAACUGAAGAAAAAGGAUGAGAAGCAGCAGGCUUUGAUAGAGAAUUACUUUGGGACUGUGGAACAUGAAAUCAGCAAUGGGACUGGAACAGCUGAUUCGCCGAGGAAGAAGAGGAAGAGGAUGGGUCAGGACAGCGCUGAUGAGCUCAGCGAUGUCACCUGUGUUCCUGGGAAUCAGGACUGCCAGGAGGGUGCUGCUGAUUUUGCUCCUUCUAAAAAACCCAAGAAGAAAAAGAAAGAAAAGCAGCCUGAAGUGGAUGAGGUGUGUGAGCUGUCUCCCUCUGAGGAGCACAGCAAGGGCCACAAAGAGAAACCCAAAAAGAAGAAGAAGAGGAGAGAGGGCAGUGCCCAGGAUGUGCAGGAGGACACAGAUGGAGCAGCUGAGCAGCCGCCCUUAGAACAGGACAGGGGCUGGCCUUCAGAUGAGGAUGGAGGCUGUGAUGCUGCUUCUGCCAUCAGUGAGGUCUCUAUGGAGCUCCCUGCUGAUUUUUCUACACCCAGUAAAGCAGCUGAUAGAGCUAAAAAGACUCCAGUACGUGCUAAAAAGGCAUAUAAGAUUUAUUUUAUUUAUAAUAAUUUCUAAGAAUACUUCAGUGUAGUCUCUUUUCUCUUCUUUAAAAACUGUAGCUAUGGAAAUAAUUUAUGUGCAAACAAUUCACAUCUAAAAAAAAAAGAAAAGUGGGGAAAUAAGAAAAGGAUUACAUUUGUUAAACUUGAUAUUUAUUGUCCACAUGUGCAUUUUAACCAAGCAGCUAGUAAGGUCAGCUAAACAAUUGAAUGUUCUGUGCAAAUAAAUGCUGGUGUAAGUAGUUCUUGAUGCCUUUA
rnacentral:lncRNA from 1 species